GACGAACGCUGGCGGCGUGCCUAACACAUGCAAGUCGAACGAACCGUUCGGGUCUUUUUGCGCACGGGUUCUUAACGCGUGGGAACCUGCCCUUAGGUUCGGAAUACCUCCCCGACAGGGGUACUUAUGCCGGAUCGUAUCUUCGGACCAAAGAUUUAUUGCGUUUGGAUGGGCCCGCGUUGGAUUAGCUCGUUGGUAGGGUAAAAGCCUACUACGGCGUCGAUCCAUAGCUUGUCUGAGAGGAUGAUUCUCGACACUGGGAGUGAGACACGGCCGAGAAUCCUCCGCGAUGCAGCAGUGGGGAAUAUUGGACAAUGGGCGAAAGCAUGAUCGAGCAAUGCCGGGUGAGUGAUGAAGGCCGUAGGGUUGUAAAGCUCCUUUACCCGGGAUGAUAAUGACAGUACCGGGUGAAUAAGCCCCGGCUAACUACGUG
rnacentral:rRNA from 1 species